GCAAGUCGAGCGCUUCCCUUCGGGGAGGAGCGGCGGACGGGUUAGUAACGCGUGGGAAUAUACCCUUCACUACGGAAUAGCCUCGGGAAACUGAGAGUAAUACCGUAUACGCCCUUCGGGGGAAAGAUUUAUCGGUGAAGGAUUAGCCCGCGUUGGAUUAGGUAGUUGGUGAGGUAACGGCUCACCAAGCCUACGAUCCAUAGCUGGUUUGAGAGGAUGAUC
rnacentral:rRNA from 1 species